UACGUAGGGGGCAAGCGUUGUCCGGACUUAUUGGGCGUAAAGGGCGCGUAGGCGGAUAUUUAAGUCGGGGGUGAAAGCCCGGGGCUCAACCUCGGAAUUGCCUUCGAUACUGGAUAUCUUGAGUACGGGAGAGGUGAGUGGAACUCCGAGUGUAGAGGUGAAAUUCGUAGAUAUUCGGAAGAACACCAGUGGCGAAGGCGACUCACUGGCCCGUUACUGACGCUGAGGCGCGAAAGCGUGGGAGCAACAGG
rnacentral:rRNA from 1 species